GACGAACGCUGGCGGCGUGCCUAACACAUGCAUGCCGAACGGAGUGGCGAACGGGUGUGUAACACGUGGGUCACCUGCCCCGCACCUCGGGAUAAGCCUGGCAAACUGGCCCUAAUACCGGAUAGUGUGUGCUGGGCCCGCGGCCUAUCAGCUUGUUGGUGGGGUAAUGGCCUACCGAGGCGGCGACAGGUAGCCGGCCUGAAUGGGUGGACGGCCAGAUUCGGACUGUGACACGGCCCAGACUCCUACGGGAGGCAGCAGUGGGGAGUAUUGCACGAUGGGCGGGAGCCUGAUCCAGCCAUGCCGCGUGUGUGAGGAAGAUCUUCGGAUUGUAAAGGACUUUGAGAUGGGAGGGUUAAUACCUUGCUGAAUUAGCGUUACCAACAGAAUAAGCACCGGCUGACUACGUGCCAGCCGCCGCGGUAAUAC
rnacentral:rRNA from 1 species